rnacentral:rRNA from 1 species
UGAAGAGUUUGAUCCUGGCUCAGAUUGAACGCUGGCGGCAUGCCUUACACAUGCAAGUCGAACGGCAGCACGGGGGCAACCCUGGUGGCGAGUGGCGAACGGGUGAGUAAUACAUCGGAACGUGUCCUGGAGUGGGGGAUAGCCCGGCGAAAGCCGGAUUAAUACCGCAUACGCUCUACGGAGGAAAGGGGGGGAUCUUAGGACCUCUCGCUCAAGGGGCGGCCGAUGGCAGAUUAGCUAGUUGGUGGGGUAAAGGCCUACCAAGGCGACGAUCUGUAGCUGGUCUGAGAGGACGACCAGCCACACUGGGACUGAGACACGGCCCAGACUCCUACGGGAGGCAGCAGUGGGGAAUUUUGGACAAUGGGCGCAAGCCUGAUCCAGCAAUGCCGCGUGUGUGAAGAAGGCCUUCGGGUUGUAAAGCACUUUUGUCCGGAAAGAAAACCUUUGCCCUAAUACGGUGGGGGGAUGACGGUACCGGAAGAAUAAGCACCGGCUAACUACGUGCCAGCAGCCGCGGUAAUACGUAGGGUGCAAGCGUUAAUCGGAAUUACUGGGCGUAAAGCGUGCGCAGGCGGUUCGUUAAGACAGAUGUGAAAUCCCCGGGCUUAACCUGGGAACUGCAUUUGUGACUGGCGGGCUAGAGUAUGGCAGAGGGGGGUAGAAUUCCACGUGUAGCAGUGAAAUGCGUAGAGAUGUGGAGGAAUACCGAUGGCGAAGGCAGCCCCCUGGGCCAAUACUGACGCUCAUGCACGAAAGCGUGGGGAGCAAACAGGAUUAGAUACCCUGGUAGUCCACGCCCUAAACGAUGUCAACUAGUUGUCGGGUCUUCAUUGACUUGGUAACGAAGCUAACGCGUGAAGUUGACCGCCUGGGGAGUACGGUCGCAAGAUUAAAACUCAAAGGAAUUGACGGGGACCCGCACAAGCGGUGGAUGAUGUGGAUUAAUUCGAUGCAACGCGAAAAACCUUACCUACCCUUGACAUG